rnacentral:rRNA from 1 species
ACGGAAGGCAGCAGUGAGGAAUAUUGGUCAAUGGACGGAAGUCUGAACCAGCCAAGUCGCGUGAAGGAAGACGGUUCUAUGGAUUGUAAACUUCUUUUAUAGGGGGAUAAAGUGAGGCAUGCAUGCCUUUUUGUAGGUACCCUAUGAAUAAGCAUCGGCUAACUCCGUGCCAGCAGCCGCGGUAAUACGGAGGAUGCGAGCGUUAUCCGGAUUUAUUGGGUUUAAAGGGUGCGCAGGCGGCACGUUAAGUCAGCGGUGAAAUGUCGGGGCUCAACCCCGGCACUGCCGUUGAAACUGGCGAGCUUGAGUACGGAUGAAGUCGGCGGAAUGUGAUGUGUAGCGGUGAAAUGCUUAGAUAUGUCACAGAACACCGAUUGCGAAGGCAGCUGACUAAUCCGCAACUGACGCUCAGGCACGAAAGCGUGGGGAUCGAACAGGAUUAGAUACCCUGGUA